rnacentral:rRNA from 1 species
UGGGGGAUAUUGCACAAUGGGCGAAAGCCUGAUGCAGCGACGCCGCGUGGGGGAUGAAGGCUUUCGGGUUGUAAACCUCUUUCGCUAUCGAACAAGGCCCGCUUAGGGUGGGUUGAGGGUAGGUGGAGAAGAAGCGCCGGCUAACUACGUGCCAGCAGCCGCGGUAAUACGUAGGGCGCGAGCGUUGUCCGGAACUAUUGGGCGUAAAGGGCUUGUAGGAGGCUUGUUGCGCCUGCUGUGAAAACGCGGGGCUUAACUUCGCGCGUGCAGUGGGUACGGGCAGGCUUGAGUGUGGUAGGGGUGACUGGAAUUCCAGGUGUCGCGGUGGAAUGCGCAGAUAUCUGGGGGAACACCGAUGGCGAAGGCAGGGCACUGGGCCAUUACUGACGCUGAGGAGCGAAAGCAUGGGUAGCGAACAGG